rnacentral:rRNA from 1 species
AACGGGAUUAGAUACCCCGGUAGUCCUGGCCCUAAACGCUGCUCGCUCGCUUUCGGGAGUAUCGACCCUCUCGGAGGCUAAGCUAACGCGGUAAGCGAGCCGCCUGGGUAGUACGAGCGCAAGCUUAAAACUCAAAGGAAUAGACGGGGACUUGCACAAGCGGUGGAUCAUGCGGCUUAAUUCGUCGCUAAGCGAAGAACCUUACCAGGGUUAGAAAUCCAGCUGCAUAUUCUAAGAAACUAGAAUAGCCUUCGAGGGUGCUGGACAGGUGAUGCAUGGCCGUCGUCAGUUCGUGGUUUGAACUGUUCCCUUAAGUGGGGUAACGAACGCAACCCUCGUUGCCUGUUAUAAGUGUCAGGCGAGACUGCUCCCUCACGGGAGAGGAAGGUGGGGAUGACGCCAGGUCAGCAUGUCCCUUGAUACCCUGGGCUGCACGCGUGAUACAAUGGUUGGUACAAUGAGACGCAAUGGGGUAACCCGGAGCAAAUCUAUUAAAACCAAUCUCAAUCCGGAUUGAGGUCUGAAACUCGACCUCAUGAAGUCGGAAUCGCUAGUAAUCGUGGGUCAGCAACACCACGGUGAAUACGUUCUCAAGUCUUGUACUCACCGCCCGUCAAGUCAAGGGAGUUGGGGGUGCCCGACGUUCCAGUUAAUCUGGACCUAAGGCAAAUUCAAUGACAAGGACUAAGUCGUAACAAGGCACGGCUAGCGGAAGCUGGUCGUG